UACGUAGGGGGCAAGCGUUGUCCGGAAUUAUUGGGCGUAAAGAGCGUGUAGGCGGCCAGAUAAGUCCGCUGUGAAAUCUCGAGGCUCAACUUCGAGCUGUCGGUGGAAACUAUCUGGCUAGAGUCCGGAAGAGGAGAAUGGAAUUCCUGGUGUAGCGGUGAAAUGCGCAGAUAUCAGGAAGAACACCGGUGGCGAAAGCGUUCUGCUAGACCUGUACUGACACUGAGGGACGAAAGCUAGGGGAGCGAAUGGG
rnacentral:rRNA from 1 species